AUAGAGGUGUUAGCUAAUCUAAGUUUGUAAUCAUAUUGCAAUAUAUAAAUUCACCAAAUCAAUAAUUAUAUAUUUUAAACUUAUACAAUAUUAUAUAUCAAUUAUAUUUCAAUUUUAAAAGUCAUUUAAAAAAUAAAAAGUUAUUUGAGGGUGCCUGGGUGGCUCAGUCAGUUAAGCAUCUGCCUUUGGCUCAGGUCAUGAUCCCGGGGUCCUGGUCUUAGUCUUAGGUUGGACUCCCUGCUUGGCAGGGAGUCUGCUUCUCCCUGUUCCCCUCCCCUAUGAUCAUGCUCUCUCUCUCUCGCUCUCUCUCAAAUAAUAAAUAAAAUCUUAAAAAAAUAAAAAUAAAGAAAUAAAAAGUCAUUUGAUUACAUCUCACAACAAAAUAUGUCCAACCACUGAGGUUGCCUACUUGGAGGAUCAAAUUCGUGCUGUGAUGUUUGGAAAUAAAUGCAUUUAAUUUAAUAAAAGAAAUUCACCUAAAAUUUUAGAGAAAGUACAAAGCAAUUACUGAAAUACAGAAUGAAUGCAUCAGGUAAGCAUUUCUAUUUACUUGAAAAAAACUGGUAGAGUUGGUGGCAUAGAAUCUUGAUGGUUUAUUUCUGUAUUGACAACAGAUAGUAUUUAUGAAGGUACCUUCAUAUUUGGAAAGGGAAAACAUAGCUGUUGUUGUUAUACACUGACCUCUAAAGAUCUAUGACAGUAGGAAUUUCAUGUGGUUGAAUAGGGGUCUGGAGGCCUGAGCUUAUAGCCACUGAAAACAAUCUGGUGGAGUUUUCUUGACCUUAAGUUCUAGACUCUUUUGUUUAUGAAAUGGGGUUCUAUCCAAUCUACCUACUUCACCAAGUGGUAGAGAUGACCAAAUAAGAUUGAGAAUUGACAAUGUAGAUACCAUCCUUUCCCUUUACCCAGGGGAUGUCCCCAUCUCCCACGACCACAGAGAGUAUAUUCAGAGGAAGGGAAGCAACAUGAGGGAGAUUGCUCUCCUCUGGUGACUCCCUGUGAAGAGAAAGGAAAGAGAGCCUACAGACCUCAGGAGCAUGAUUGCAUCGUGUUUGUUUGUCCUUUUAUGAAGUCUCUGAUGGUGCCCUGAUGUUCAAACAAACAUACUAAAAACAAACCUUUUCCUGAAAGUUCUAACUUGGUGUUAGAACAGUUUCAGACAGUCUGCAUCUCAUCCUGCAGUUUGUUUGUACAUCGAAGCCUUUGAUACAUCAAACAAAACCUCCAAGAGCCUUUAUCGCCUAAUCAUGUACACAUAGACUCUCAGAAUGUUGUAAUAAUAUACUCUAUAAAUAAAAUGUGAGCAUUAAAAAUCGAU
rnacentral:lncRNA from 1 species